rnacentral:rRNA from 1 species
GACCGGAUGCGGAUCUCGAAAGCCUGUCCCAGUUCGGACUGGAGUCUGCAACCCGACUCCACGAAGUUGGAUUCGCUAGUAAUCGCGCAUCAGCCAUGGCGCGGUGAAUACGUUCCCGGGCCUUGUACACACCGCCCGUCAAGCCAUGGGAGCCGGGGGCGCCUGAAGUCCGGGACCGCGAGGACCGGCCUAGGGCGAAACUGGUAACUGGGGCUAAGUCGUAACAAGGUAAC